UUUUUCUUAUAUUUUCUACCUUUUUUCUUGUACCAUGUUGGAGUGUUUCCUUCUACUUCUUCGAUUUACGUGUUGAUAUUUCUUUUUUUAUUAUUUUUCUAUAGUUUCUUAUAAUGAUGAUUACUACUGUUUCGGACAGACUUAAGGACUGUAAUCAUAAGACAUGCAUGCUAUAAAUUAUUUCUUAUGUGUUGAUGAUAUAUAAAUUAUUUGCCUCUG
rnacentral:lncRNA from 1 species